rnacentral:rRNA from 1 species
GAUGAACGCUGGCGGCGUGCCUAAUACAUGCAAGUCGAGCGAACAGACGAGGAGCUUGCUCCUCUGACGUUAGCGGCGGACGGGUGAGUAACACGUGGAUAACCUACCUAUAAGACUGGGAUAACUUCGGGAAACCGGAGCUAAUACCGGAUAAUAUAUUGAACCGCAUGGUUCAAUAGUGAAAGACGGUUUUGCUGUCACUUAUAGAUGGAUCCGCGCCGCAUUAGCUAGUUGGUAAGGUAACGGCUUACCAAGGCGACGAUGCGUAGCCGACCUGAGAGGGUGAUCGGCCACACUGGAACUGAGACACGGUCCAGAAUCCUACGGGAGGCAGCAGUAGGGAAUCUUCCGCAAUGGGCGAAAGCCUGACGGAGCAACGCCGCGUGAGUGAUGAAGGUCUUCGGAUCGGAAAACUCUGUUAUUAGGGAAGAACAAAUGUGUAAGUAACUAUGCACGUCUUGACGGUACCUAAUCAGAAAGCCACGGCUAACUACGUG